rnacentral:rRNA from 1 species
GUCGUAACAAGGUUUCCGUAGGUGAACCUGCGGAAGGAUCAUUACUGAACUGUCAACACGAGUUGUUGCUGGUCCUCAAAUGGGGGCAUGUGCACACUCUGUUUACACAUCCACUCACACCUGUGCACCCUCUGUAGUUCUGUGGCAUGGGGGACUCUGUCCUCCUGUUGUGGCUCUACAUCUUUACACACACUCUGUAACAAAGUCUCAUGGAAUGUAUGUCGCGUUUAACGCAAUACAAUACAACUUUCAGCAACGGAUCUCUUGGCUCUCGCAUCGAUGAAGAACGCAGCGAAAUGCGAUAAGUAGUGUGAAUUGCAGAAUUCAGUGAAUCAUCGAAUCUUUGAACGCACAUUGCGCCUCUUGGUAUUCCUAGAGGCAUGCCUGUUCGAGCGUCAUUAAAAACCAUCAAGUGAGCUUGCCUUGCUUGGUUCUGAGGGAUGGGGUCGUCCUUUUGGGGAGGCGCCACCCUCGAAAUCCAAUGGCGGACAACCACCAGUGCAACUGCAGCGUAGUAACUCAUUCUCUCGCUAGCGGCCACGGAGGCACUGUCCUGCCAAUCAAACCCCCACAUCAAUGGUUGACCUCGGAUCAGGUAGGGAUACCCGCUGAACUUAAGCAUAUCAAUAAGCGGAGGAAAAGAAACCAACAGGGAUUGCCUCAGUAACUGCGAGUGAAGCGGCAAGAGCUCAAAUUUGAAAUCUGGCGUCCUCUGGCGUCCGAGUCGUAAUUUGGAGGGAUAUCUUCGGGGUCGGUGCCGUCCCAAGUUCUGUGGAACAGGACAUCAUAGAGGGUGAGAAUCCCGUGCCUGGACGGCUGCCCGGUCCCAUGUGAAGUGUCUCCGACGAGUCGAGUUGUUUGGGAAUGCAGCUCAAAAUUGGUGGUAAAUUUCAUCUAAAGCUAAAUAUUGGCGAGAGACCGAUAGCGAACAAGUAGAGUGACCGAAAGAUGAAAAGCACUUUGAAAAGAGAGUUAAAAAGUACGUGAAAUUGUUGAAAGGGAAGCGCAUGCGACCAGACUCAACCUUUGGUGAUCAUCUGUGGUUCUCCGCGGUGCACUUGCCAUAUGUUGGGCCAGCAUUGGUUUUGGUGGCGGGACAAAAGCAAUGGGAAUGUAGCUCCCUCUUGGGGGAGUGUUAUAGCCCUAUGCACAAUGCCGCCAGCCGGGACCGAGGACCGCGCUUCGGCUAGGAUGCUGGCGUAAUGGUCUUAUGCGACC